UGUUUGCUCUCUGUCUUUUGUGGCACCUUUACUCUCUGCUCCGUGUCUGCACACCUGUUCCUCGUUUAAUUAGUUGUAUUUAGUUCCACCUGAGUCCCUCCUUCACUGCUUCAUCAUUAUUCUUUUUUGACGGAUGUGGAUCGGACGGGUUUUAUUCGCAAGCCAAACAUUCCUCCCGCUGUGCCAACCUCACCUGUGGGGUCCCUAGGGCUCAAUACUGGGUUCCAUCCUGUUCUCCAUCUACAUGCUCUUCCUCAGCCAAGUCAUUCAUCGCCUUAAAAUUUCCUUUCAUUUCUACACUGAUGAUACUAAAUCUAUCUUCCACUCAAGACAGACGAUCCCUCUGGACUGGACCAUUUGAAGGACUGCUUGCAGGACAUAAAAGAGUGGAUGUCAAAAUUUCCUGCAGCUCAAUGACAGAGUGAAAUUCUUCUGUUCGGGAACUCCAACCCCCCAACUGUGCACAAUAGCCAAGAUCAAGUAUGUCCUCUCCCCCAGUGACUUAGAGGGUCGUGUUCAUGCUCAUCUUCUGCAGACUGGACUAAUGGAAUGCCCUCUAUGCUGGGGUCACUGACAAGACCAUAUAUAGCAUGCAGUUGGUACAAAAUGCUGGUGACAGGCACAAAAAGGAGGGAACACAUUUCUCCCAUCCUCUCCUCCCUUCACUGGCUCCUGGUGUAGCACAGAGUGAAAUUUAAGAUCCUUACGUAUGUCUUCAAAGCGCUCCGUGGUCUUACCCCAGCUUACAUCAAACAUCUCCUGGACCAACCUAUCAGCUCCAGGCUUGGUCGUUGCCUCAGAUCUGACAACCAGAUGACCUUGAAGGUCCCACAGUCAAACCUGGUGACAAAGAGAGACUGUGCAUUUUCAAUGAUGGUACCUGGCCUAUGGAAUAAGCUCCCCCUGAAAGUCAAGUCCGCCACCACUCUGGACACUUUUAGAGCACAGCUUAAAACUCACCUCUUUGCCGCAAAUGACUUGAUUUGUGUUCAUGUGUCUUAAAUGUUUGUUCUAAA